GACGAACGCUGGCGGCGUGCUUAACACAUGCAAGUCGAACGGAAAGGCCCUGCUUUUGUGGGGUGCUCGAGUGGCGAACGGGUGAGUAACGCGUGAGUAACCUGCCCUUGACUUUGGGAUAACUUCAGGAAACUGGGGCUAAUACCGGCUAGGAGCUCCUGCUGCAUGGGGGGGGUUGGAAAGUUUCGGCGGAUGGGGAUGGACUCGCGGCUUAUCAGCUUGUUGGUGGGGUAGUGGCUUACCAAGGCUUUGACGGGUAGCCGGCCUGAGAGGGUGACCGGCCACAUUGGGACUGCGGUACGGCCCAGACUCCUACGGGAGGCAGCAGUGGGGAAUAUUGCACAAUGGGCGGAAGCCUGAUGCAGCAACGCCGCGUGCGGGAUGACGGCCUUCGGGUUGUGAACCGCUUUCGCCUGUGACGAAGCGUGAGUGACGGUAAUGGGUAAAGAAGCACCGGCUAACUACGUG
rnacentral:rRNA from 1 species